rnacentral:lncRNA from 10 species
CUUUGCGGUGCUCCUGGAGCGCUCCGGGUUGUCCCUCAGGUUCCCGAGGCCGAGCGGUGGUGUGUCGUUCCCACCCCCAGCGCCCCCUCCUCCGGUCGGCGCCUCGGUGUCCGCGCGUGGGUCCUGAGGGAGCUCGUCGGUGUGGGGUUCGAGGCGGUUGAGUGAGACGAGACGCGCCCCUCCCACGCGGGGAAGGGCGCCCGCCUGGUCCGGCGAGCGCACGUCCGGUGCUCCCCUCUGGCGGACGGAAUGAAGUUGAUAAUAGUGAGACCUUGUUGGUACAAGACUAUGUAACAUAACCUGCGCUUCUCAACAAAGAAUUGCUUUUCUGACUUCUGCACUCAAUAGCAAGACAAAUCUCUCCUCUGCCUUCUCCUUAUCAGACUACUCAACAUGAAGGCAAUAAGAAUGAAGACCUCUAUGUAUAAUAAUUGACUUCCACUUAAUAAAUAAGGUUACUUGGUACACUGGUCGACAAAACCUUGAAAUGUUGAUGUUUAAGGGCUGUUGAUUGCUGGCAGCAAAGAAGUCCAACUGUGCUGGUACCCGAGAUAGCGUCUCCACAUUUUCUUCCAGGAUCAUCACCUUUGUUCUAAAUAGCUCCCACAUAGUGUGAACAGAAGUCAUAUGUUUUAGAUUUUCUGCCUUGGCACCCAGG